rnacentral:rRNA from 1 species
UACGGAGGGUGCAAGCGUUAUCCGGAUUCACUGGGUUUAAAGGGUGCGUAGGCGGGCAGGUAAGUCCGUGGUGAAAUCUCUGAGCUUAACUCAGAAACUGCCGUUGAUACUAUUUGUCUUGAAUAUCCUGGAGGUAGGCGGAAUAUGUCAUGUAGCGGUGAAAUGCUUAGAUAUGACAUAGAACACCGAUAGCGAAGGCAGCUUACUACAGGAUGAUUGACGCUGAGGCACGAAAGCGUGGGGAGCAAACAGG